CUAGUGUGGUUUCUGCUGCUGCAGAUAGUUAUAUUUACUCUUCUCCUCCACCACCUUACGAGUAUAAGUCGCCACCGCCACCAUCACCUUCACCACCACCUCCUUAUGUUUACAAAUCGCCACCUCCUCCAUCCCCAUCACCUCCACCACCUUAUGAGCACAAGGCUCCUGCUUAUGAGUACAAGUCACCACCACCACCAACUCCUUCACCACCACCUCCUUAUGUGUACAAGUCACCACCACCGCCAUCUCCUUCACCACCACCUCCUUAUGUGUACAAGUCACCACCACCACCCUCACCUUCCCCACCACCACCAUACUACUACAAGAGUCCUCCACCACCUUCUCCUUCACCUCCACCUCCUUACUACUACAAAUCUCCUCCACCACCCUCACCUUCCCCACCACCACCAUACUAUUACAAGUCUCCUCCACCACCAUCUCCCUCACCUCCACCACCAUAUUACUACAAGUCUCCCCCACCACCCUCACCCUCCCCUCCACCCCCAUAUAUACACAAGGAUCCACCAUACUAUUACAAGUCCCCACCACCACCUUCACCAUCUCCUCCACCACCAUACUACUACAAAUCUCCCCCACCCCCUUCACCGUCUCCUCCACCACCAUACUACUACAAAUCUCCUCCUCCUCCAUCUCCUAUUCCCAAAACACCUUACUACUACAAAUCUCCCCCACCCCCUUCACCAUCUCCUCCACCACCAUACUACUACAAAUCUCCCCCACCCCCUUCACCGUCUCCUCCACCACCAUACUACUAUAAAUCUCCCCCACCACCGUCACCCUCUCCACCACCACCUUACUAUUACAAGUCUCCUCCCCCACCUUCACCAUCUCCUCCACCACCAUACUACUACAAAUCUCCUCCUCCUCCAUCUCCUAUUCCCCAUACACCUUACUAUUACAAAUCUCCCCCACCACCUUCACCAUCUCCUCCACCACCAUACUACUACAAAUCUCCUCCUCCUCCAUCUCCUAUUCCCCGUACACCUUACUAUUACAAAUCUCCCCCACCACCUUCACCAUCUCCUCCACCACCAUACUACUACAAAUCCCCUCCUCAUCCAUCUCCCAUUCCCCAUACACCUUACUAUUACACAUCUCCCCCACCACCUUCACCGUCUCCUCCACCACCAUAUUACUACAAAUCUCCUCCCCCUCCGUCUCCUAUUCCCCACACACCUUACUACUACAAGUCCCCACCACCACCAAAGGUCCUUCCACCACCAUACUAUUACAAUUCUCCUCCUCCACCUGUUGUGUAUCCUCACCCAUAUCCCUACCACCACUCACUUAUUGUGAGGGUAGUCGGUAAAGUCUACAGCUUCAGAUGUUAUGAUUGGAAUUAUCCUGCAAAGUCUCAUAACAAGAAACAUCUCAAAGGUACAUUACAUUUCUUAGGACCGGACCUCUUUAGAGUAAUGUGUUUAGAGAUAAUGCACAAUUUUUUAUUUUUUUAUCUCGUAAAGGUUUAUUUAUUAUAAUCACAAUUUCACUUUUGUCAAAAAGAAAAACAAUUUUACUAUAUAUAGUUUUAAUCAUUAACAUUUUGAUGUAAAAAGAAUACAAUUCUCUAUUACCUUUUUACUAUGAUAUAUAUACAAAGAUUAUUCAAAUCUAUAUAUCCAACCUAAUUUCCAUCCAAAAAAAUAGAAAACAUAGGGUGCUUUGAACGCCUGCAGCAUCACAUGAAUAAAUAAAAACAAUCAAUAAUCAACCUUGUUCUAAUUUAUUUUAGACAGCGAUUGUUAAGCAUACUGCUCUUUUAAUUACAUUUUUUUUAAAGAUGCUCUUUUAAUUAUAUUGUCCUAAUAUAAUAUGUGUCUUUAUAUAUUACUUGUCGUAAACUAAUUUUAUUAUGGGUGCAGGAGCUGUUGUUGAGGUGACAUGCAAAGCCGGGAGCAAAAUUGUCAAGGCUUAUGGAAAAACUAAGAACAAUGGAAAGUAUGCCAUCACAGUUAAGGACUUUGACUAUGUCAAAUAUGGUUCGACAGUGUGCAAGGCUGCCCUAUAUGCUCCACCUAAGGGUUCACCCUUCAACAUACCUACAAAGCUAAAUCAAGGAACAAAGUUGUACUUGAAAUCCAAAGACAAGUACGAGGUUGUGCUCAAGGCUAAGCCAUUUGCUUAUGCUUCAAAGAAACAUUUCAAAGAAUGUGAGAAGCCUAAGCCUUCACCAACUCCUUACUACUACAAAUCACCUCCACCUCCCUCACCAGUUUACAAAUACAACUCACCACCUCCACCGGUCCAUUAUUAUUCACCUCCAUACACCUACAAGUCACCUCCUCCCCCUGUGAAAGCGGCACCAACUCCUUACUACUACAAAUCACCUCCACCACCCGCACCGGUUUACAAGUACAACUCACCCCCUCCACCGGUCCAUUAUUAUUCACCACCAUAUACCUAUAAGUCACCUCCUCCCCCUGUGAAAGCGGCACCAACUCCUUACUACUACAAAUCACCUCCACCUCCCGCACCGGUUUACAAGUACAACUCCCCACCUCCACCGGUCCAUUAUUAUUCACCUCCAUAUACCUACAAGUCACCUCCUCCCCCUGUGAAAGUGGCACCAACUCCUUACUACUACAAAUCACCUCCACCACCCGCACCGGUUUACAAGUACAACUCACCACCUCCACCGGUCCAUUAUUAUUCUCCACCAUACUACUACAAGUCACCACCCCCACCAUCUCCAUCACCUCCUCCACCAUACUAUUUCAAAUACUAUUACAAGUCCCCACCUCCACCAUCACCAUCCCCUCCUCCACCUUAUUAUUACAAAUCUCCUCCUCCACCAAAACAAAUUUCACACCCUCCAUACUACUAUAAGUCACCACCCCCACCAUCACCAUCACCUCCUCCACCAUACUAUUAUAAGUCUCCACCUCCACCAUCACCAUCUCCCCCACCACCUUAUUAUUAUAAGUCACCACCCCCACCAUCCCCGUCCCCUCCUCCACCAUACUACUACAAGUCUCCACCUCCACCUAAAGAAAUAUCACAUCCUCCAUAUAACUAUAAGUCACCACCCCCACCAUCACCAUCCCCUCCCCCUCCAUACUAUUACAAAUCUCCUCCACCACCAUCACCAUCACCACCACCUCCCUACUAUUACAAAUCACCUCCACCACCAUCACCAUCACCUCCCCCUCCAUACUAUUACAAAUCUCCUCCACCACCAUCACCAUCACCACCACCUCCUUACUAUUACAAAUCACCUCCACCACCAUCCCCAUCACCACCACCUCCAUACUACUACAAAAGUCCCCCUCCACCAUCUCCAUCUCCUCCAUCCCCAUAUUACUACAAAUCUCCACCACCACCAUCACCAUCCCCACCCCCUCCCUACUAUUACAAAUCACCUCCACCUCCCUCACCAUCACCGCCACCUCCUUACUAUUACAAAUCACCUCCACCUCCCUCACCAUCACCGCCACCUCCUUACUAUUACAAAUCUCCCCCACCUCCAUCUCCAUCUCCACCACCUCCUUACCACUAUCAAAGUCCUCCUCCACCAUCUCCCAUUUCUCAUCCUCCCUACUACUACAAAUCCCCUCCACCACCAUCGCCGUCUCCUCCACCUCCUUACCACUAUGUGAGUCCUCCCCCACCAGUAAAGUCACCUCCACCACCAACUUAUAUCUAUGCUUCACCACCACCACCUCACUACAACUAAGCUCAAAGAGCAGAAGCUCCGUUCAUUAUAAAUCAUGUAAGUUUAUCAUCUUCAAUUUUCUGAAUGUGUGCGUGUGUAUUUGUUUUUUUGUUACAAGAUACUAACAAAAUUCUUUUCUUAUUUAUGUUCAGGUUUUAGUUUUCAUCUAGGAAUAAAGGCAAGCUCCAUUUGGAGUAAAGUGAAACUUCUAGCUUCGUGUCCGAAUUCGUUAAAUAAAUGUCGGGAUGUAUCGUCUUUGAGCUAUAAUAUUUCUGAUCCAGACAAUAUCUAUUUUGUUUCUUUGGUGGCAAUCUUGCACUUCCUGGUCUUAGUCUAUUCAAGUGACAGACAAAUCAAAAGGGAGAAGCGAGAUUAAUUUAUUUGUGAUCUCUUUGAUUUAUUUGUGCAUAUAUCAAUAUGAACGUGUAUGAUAUUUUUCUAUUUAUUGAAGAUUUUUUUACUGUAACCUGUUAUUGUGUUUGUCAAAAGGUGUUAAUAAAGAAUCACAUUCAAUUUCUGUUAAAUUAUCAGUAUUUGUUUCUUUCUAACAACUACCAUUCAUGCAAAUGUGGCUAUUAAAAAAAGCUCCAAUGACACAUAAAAAGCUUCCAAACAAUAUAUAAACAAAGAUGCAUUGUUUUCUGUUAAGAAGGGGACAGGGUUACGGUUACUUGUGUACCAAGUUAGUUAUCCAUGCUUUCUUGUUCAUAGGAUUUAUAUGGUGUAGUUGCACUUAGUUGCUAAAUGUAUGCAAGCUUUUCCUUUCUAUAAAUAAGCACACCUACUAUCAUUCUUCUCCACAUUCCUUUCUACUCUUCUAUCAUGAAUUGUUCAUCCACAUAAGAUGGUCACAGAGCACACCUAAUACUCUGCUACUGGUGUAUCAGUUCCUUUCCACCAGAAACUUAUGAUCUCUAAUUGAAAGAGAUCCUAAAGUUUUAAGAUUUCUACAAAAUACAUUAUUCUCAUUUUUGUACAAGUAUGAUACAAUUAUUCCCAAGUAUUAUUUAUUCUAAGGAAUAGAAUUUAGUUGUGGUUUCUCUAUUUAACCAACAUUUAUUUUUAAAUAACUAAAUUUAAAAAAAAAAUCCUGAAAUUAUUAAGUACAUACCUAACACAUUGUAAAAUUUUGUUCCCAAAGAAAAUAUUUUUGGCAAUAGAAUUUUCAGGAACUUCAUUCCUAGGAAUAUAAUUCUAUACUAAGAGAAGAGCUUAAGCAUUGAUACAUAACAAGACCAAUCCAUAUCCUAAUCACAAUCCUACUUUCACUAAAUACUUUCACUUAAGUGUGGUCUUGGAAAGGACAAAUGAAGAAAGACAUUCCAGAGGUAUGGUAAGGGACAAUAUCUGCAGUUAUGCACAUAUUGCAAGAUUGUGAGGAACUACCGGACUGAUUUGAUUCACCAAAAAAUUUGGAAUAAAUAUUUCAGCCCAGAACUCAGACAAUGACUGGAUUGGAACCUUUCAGCUUCUAAUAUCGGUACUGUCCAAGGAAAUAGUCAUUCUCUUUUUGGAGUAGCUGUGAAGGAUUUAUGGAAAGAUAGAACUAAGCUGGUCUUUUCUAGAAACACCGCGAUUGGAACUACUCUAUUUUGGCUUGUAGCCAAUCCGGCUAAGUUUAUUAACAAUGUAGUUUGUACUCAAGCUCACAGUCACGAUGUUGUCAGCAACAGUGGGCAUAUUGUUUAGGUAGCCUGGAAUUUUCCUCCCCAACACUUCUUCAAAGUGAAUAUGAUGGAUCUCUACGGGAUUAUGUUAGUUUCCAGGAUCGAACUCAGAACCUCCUGAUUAUAACUCCUUCAAUGUAUGUCCCUUACCCACGUGGGGCCUCGGCUGUAAUUGUUAACAUGGUAAAAUUUGGCUCUUCCAAUAAUGGUUUUAUCCAAACUCGAGGUUGUUUAUCGUCUCCAACAAUCAGAUUGGAGAAUACUAGUGGUUCAUGCAUUUGAACAAACCAACUGUUGUGCAGAUUUUCUAGUUGAUUUUGUUUUUCCUUUUUUGAGUAUUUUAUUAGCCAAUGAUAUAAGAGGUUGUAGCCUACCUCUUUUGAUUUCUUAAGACAAUCACUUUUGCAUUAGAAAAAAACGACCCUACAUAAAAUUAAUGAUUGAAUUAAGAUAUAACUUCAGUUUGAAAUAUUGUAAAAUUCUAUACCACCAAAAACUGAGAAUUUUAGAACCAUACAGGUUGGUGGAGUGGUCAUCCAGAUAACUUUAACAUAAUUAACAGUCCAAAAAGUAAAUAGCUUUAUCCUUUAUUUUCAAUCUGAUGUGAUUUACUCUUAUCUGUUAAACAUUAUAAUUAAGAAUCCAAAGGGAACACUCACCUAAUCUCUCUCUUUUUUCUAGCUUUUUCACUAAACCACUGUGUCUGUGGUUACCACAUUUCCUUAUGGAAUCAAUAUCCAAUUUAUGUUAAAAACCAUUUCUACAUUUUGUGUUAAAAAUGAUCUAAACAAAGAUGAUUUAUUUCUCUUAAAUUCAACAUAGAUCAUAUUUACAUGGUUCAAACUUUCUAUUACACGGCAUUGACUUAGUUGCUUCACAUGGGGACACAACUAAUGCAUAUAUUAUUUUAUAUGCUUAUAGUAAUUUUAACAAGUGGCAAUGGGGCAUAUGUUUUGUCAAAAAAACACAAAAAACAGGAGGCAUGUGCAACUGAAGUCACUGCCAGCUUGGCACUAAGAUAUAGUAAAAUAAUUGACAUUUGAAGAAAACAAAGACGUUGCUACAUUUCUAUUCAAACAAGCGACAUCAAUAUCAGACAAUGGUGCUACAUUUAAUAAUACUACAGCUAUCCCCAUAAGCACCUCUUAGAAAGAAAAAAAAAUAUCCAUUAAAUUAAUGUUGGAAGAGUUAGCAACAUGUCCUCUCCCAAAAAAACUCAUGUUUGAUUCCUAGAGUCGUCCAUUUCGAAAGAAGCUCAACCCUGAUAAUAAAAACCUAGAUGUUAUGCUGCAGACUUAAAGAUCAAUUUCAUAAUGGAUCCAAAGGGCCUAAGCUGUGUGGGAUACUUAAGGGGGUAUAUUGAGGCUAAGGGUCAAAGAUCUUAAUUAUGGUCGGUUAAAAAAAGAAGAAAAAAAAAUUAUCUCUAAAUAUAAAGUCAACAAUAUUUCAAAUUGCAAGAUACAUUUAUUUAUUUUUUAAAUAUGUAUAUACCUCUUAUUAAUACUUACUAAUUUGUUUUGAGUGAUAAAAAGUUACGAGUUAGACAGAUCAGCACAUAAAAAAAGUAUUUGAAAAACAUCUACCAACAAAAUAAACACAUUAAAAACAAUACUACUUUUUUACAAUACUGUAUGUGAAAAUGACAAAAUCUUGAAAAAGAUGGAGGUAACAUGUACUCUUUUUUUUUUAGAGGGGAGCAUGUACUUUUCCACUAACAAUGUUGAUAAGAAACAUAUAAAAUACUAUUAGAGAAAGAAAAAAAAUAAUAAAUAAAGAAAUAUAUAAAAUACUGAGGAAUGACUCACUCAUGUCAAAUUUUAGCAAGGGAGAAGUGAUAUCACAUCAUUUUAGAAGAGGAAUGAGAAUAGAUAGAUCUAAUUUUUCUAGUAAGUUUGAAUAGUAGAAUCAUACUUCUUUGUCUUUUGUGAAAAUUUCAUAUUAUGGGAUCUAUUACUAGAAUACAGGUGAUUUUAUUCUGGAAGAUUGACUUUUUAUUAAAAUAAAAUAAAAGUACAUUUUUUAUUUCCAAAUGCUUAGUUGUUCAUUUAUAAAUAUUACAUUAUCCAACAGCACCAAACCCUAUUUCAUAACGGUACUCUGCACGUUUCAUUCAUUUACUGGUGCCUUAGUUUUUUGUUACAAACAGACAUUGAUCAGAGGAACAAAUGUAGAGACAAAUUGAAGAUAAUAUAUCACAUAAUAUUGUAGACACACCUUCACAUACAAAUGGGGUAAAGUCCCUCAUAGUAGUAUUAGAAAUAACACUUAGAGUAAAAUUUUGCUAAAUUUAACAUGAAAAUAAGUGUAAUGUAUUUUAUAGGCAGCUAUACAUAAUUAUUAAUUAGAACAAUUUUUUACACUGUCAAACAAAAAUUGAACAAUUUUUUACUAGCUUUAUGCUUUAUGAUGUUUUGAUUCCAUGUGCACAUUUCAAUUUUAGAACUAUUCCUUUCUAUGUUACUGAAAUAAUUCUAUCAUUAGGCAUUGACAUUUCCAUUAUGCGUGCACGUUAAAGUGUUUUCCCAAACAGAGAAAUAUUAAGAAAGGUUAAACUUUUGACUUAAAGACACAACUAAAAUAAGAUCCAAGGAAAACCCCAUUGAUUAUUUCUUGCACAAAAUUAAAAACCCCAUUGAUUAUUUCUUGCACAAAAUUAAAAUGCUAAUAAUUUUUCCUGGUCUAUAUUUUUCUCCUUCCGGGAAAUGGCAACAUCACAUGUUCAUCUCAUAAUUGAGAAAACACAUGUCUGGGAAAAUAUCUUAAAGAAAAGGCAGUAAAGUAAUAAAAAGUGCACCAAAUAGAGAUUAACUAGUACUCUUUGCAUGUCAACUAAGUGGUAUAAUUAUGUAUAUCACAUUCUUAAUAUUGAUUAUCUUGAUUGCACGAUAAGCCCCUCAAAUUGCUCAAUCGAUGAUUGCUUGAUAAGCCCAUCAAAUUGCCCAAUCGAUCGAAUCGUAACUUUCGAUAGACAUUUUUUUUAAGAAAACCCAAUUGGAUCAUAACUCCCCAUAGUCAUUUAUUUGAAAUUGUGAGCAAUUUGAUAACUUAUUGAGCAAUCACCAUUGAUUUUAGUCUCAAUUUAUCCUAAUGUUGUAACCCUGGAAUAAUGGAACAGUGAGUAAAUUUGGUUUCUCCGUCUCAAAAUAAGUGUCACAAUUUAACCAUGUGCACUACUCAUCAAAUCUACUUUGACAACAUUUUUUUUACUAAUAUAUAAAGACAAUGUUAGUACAUUACAUGUUCGAUUUGUCUUAGUUAAUGUUUUUAAAAUAUCGACUUUAUUAUAAUUUUUCUUAAUAGACAAUCAAAAAUAUCAAUUGUCAAAAUUGUGUAUUGAUAUGUAUGAAAAUCAAACUAUAACACUUACUUUGAGACGAAGAGAAUAACUAUUAAAAACUAAUGUUCAAAUAGAAAGAAAAGAAAACAAAGAUUCCAUACAAAGCUUGCAAAAUAGCUACAAUCAUAACCUAGAACAAAAAUCAUGACCACACACUAUAUCCAUUUUCCUUUUCCUAAAAAGCAAUUGAAGAUAAAAAAAAAAAAAAUAAUAAAUAAAAAAAAAAAAAAAAAAAAAAAAAANACCACCAUACUACUACAAAUCCCCACCUCCACCAUCGCCUUCUCCUCCACCACCAUACUACUACAAAUCCCCACCUCCACCAUCGCCUUCUCCUCCACCACCAUACUACUACAAAUCCCCACCUCCACCAUCGCCUUCUCCUCCACCACCAUACUACUACAAAUCCCCACCUCCACCAUCGCCUUCUCCUCCACCACCAUACUACUACAAAUCCCCACCUCCACCAUCGCCUUCUCCUCCACCACCAUACUACUACAAAUCCCCACCUCCACCAUCGCCUUCUCCUCCACCACCAUACUACUACAAAUCCCCACCUCCACCAUCGCCUUCUCCUCCACCACCAUACUACUACAAAUCCCCACCUCCACCAUCGCCUUCUCCUCCACCACCAUACUACUACAAAUCCCCACCUCCACCAUCGCCUUCUCCUCCACCACCAUACUACUACAAAUCCCCACCUCCACCAUCGCCUUCUCCUCCACCACCAUACUACUACAAAUCCCCACCUCCACCAUCGCCUUCUCCUCCACCACCAUACUACUACAAAUCCCCACCUCCACCAUCGCCUUCUCCUCCACCACCAUACUACUACAAAUCCCCACCUCCACCAUCGCCUUCUCCUCCACCACCAUACUACUACAAAUCCCCACCUCCACCAUCGCCUUCUCCUCCACCACCAUACUACUACAAAUCCCCACCUCCACCAUCGCCUUCUCCUCCACCACCAUACUACUACAAAUCCCCACCUCCACCAUCGCCUUCUCCUCCACCACCAUACUACUACAAAUCCCCACCUCCACCAUCGCCUUCUCCUCCACCACCAUACUACUACAAAUCCCCACCUCCACCAUCGCCUUCUCCUCCACCACCAUACUACUACAAAUCCCCACCUCCACCAUCGCCUUCUCCUCCACCACCAUACUACUACAAAUCCCCACCUCCACCAUCGCCUUCUCCUCCACCACCAUACUACUACAAAUCCCCACCUCCACCAUCGCCUUCUCCUCCACCACCAUACUACUACAAAUCCCCACCUCCACCAUCGCCUUCUCCUCCACCACCAUACUACUACAAAUCCCCACCUCCACCAUCGCCUUCUCCUCCACCACCAUACUACUACAAAUCCCCACCUCCACCAUCGCCUUCUCCUCCACCACCAUACUACUACAAAUCCCCACCUCCACCAUCGCCUUCUCCUCCACCACCAUACUACUACAAAUCCCCACCUCCACCAUCGCCUUCUCCUCCACCACCAUACUACUACAAAUCCCCACCUCCACCAUCGCCUUCUCCUCCACCACCAUACUACUACAAAUCCCCACCUCCACCAUCGCCUUCUCCUCCACCACCAUACUACUACAAAUCCCCACCUCCACCAUCGCCUUCUCCUCCCCCACCUUACUAUUACAAAUCCCCACCGCCACCUUCACCAUCUCCCCCACCACCCUACUACUAUAAAUCACCCCCACCACCUUCACCAUCUCCUCCACCACCAUACUACUACAAAUCACCCCCACCGCCAUAUGAACACAAGACUAAACCAUACUAUUACAAGUCUCCUCCACCACCAUAUGAACACAAGACUAAACCAUACUAUUACAAGUCCCCACCACCACCUUCACCAUCUCCUCCACCACCAUACUAUUACAAGUCCCCACCACCACCUUCACCGUCUCCACCCCCACCAUACUACUACAAAUCACCUCCUCCUCCAUCACCUAUUCCCCAUACACCUUACUACUACAAGUCCCCACCACCACCUAAGGUUCUUCCACCACCAUACUAUUACAACUCUCCUCCUCCACCUGUUGUGUAUCAUCACCCUCAUCCCUACCACCAUGCAUUGAUCGUGAAGGUAGUGG
rnacentral:lncRNA from 1 species